rnacentral:tRNA from 1 species
UUCCUGGUGGUCCAGUGGCUAAGACUCUGCACUCCCCAUGCAGGGGGCCCAGGUUCAAUUCUUGGUUGGGGAA